rnacentral:misc_RNA from 1 species
AAGUCGUAACAAGGUUUCCGUAGGUGAACCUGCGGAAGGAUCAUUAACACGUUUUUAACGUAUCAACCAAAUUUUCGGAUUGGAGAGACGGUUACGCCUGAGCAUGUUAGGGGAAAGUGCUGUUUAGGAGCUUGCUCCUCUACAGAGGCUUCCUUUAGCUGUUCAUAUUAACCCAAACCAUAUUUGUUGUUAUUUUUUCUGUUCUAAAGGACGUGGCGUUCAUCGCUAUUGUCUCUUUAUUACAAACUUGUACAACUCUUAGCAACGGAUGUCUUGGUUUCC